rnacentral:rRNA from 1 species
UGGGGAAUUUUGCACAAUGGGGGAAACCCUGAUGCAGCGACGCCGCGUGAUUUAGAAGGCCUUCGGGUUGUAAAAAUCUUUUGUAUGGGAAGAAAAUGACAGUACCAUACGAAUAAGGACCGGCUAAUUACGUGCCAGCAGCCGCGGUAAUACGUAAGGUCCGAGCGUUGUCCGGAAUCAUUGGGCGUAAAGGGUACGUAGGCGGAUAAGCAAGUUAGAAGUGAAAUCCUAUAGCUCAACUAUAGUAAGCUUUUAAAACUGCUCAUCUUGAGUUAUGGAAGGGAAAGUGGAAUUCCUAGUGUAGCGGUGAAAUGCGCAGAUAUUAGGAGGAAUACCGGUGGCGAAGGCGACUUUCUGCCCAUAAACUGACGCUGAGGUACGAAAGCGUGGGUAGCAAACAGG